rnacentral:misc_RNA from 1 species
GAUGAAGAACGUAGUGAAAUGCGAUAAGUAAUGUGAAUUGCAGAAUUCAGUGAAUCAUCGAAUCUUUGAACGCACAUUGCGCCCGCCAGUAUUCUGGCGGGCAUGCCUGUUCGAGCGUCAUUACAACCCUCAGGCCCCCGGGCCUGGCGUUGGGGAUCGGCGGAGCCCCCCGUGGGCACACGCCGUCCCCCAAAUGCAGUGGCGGUCCCGCCGCAGCUUCCAUCGCGUAGUAGCUAACACCUCGCGACUGGAGAGCGGCGCGGCCACGCCGUAAAACACCCAACCCUUCUGAAGUUGACCUCGAAUCAGGUAGGAAUACCCGCUGAACUUAAGCAUAUCAAUAAGCGGAGGA